UACGAACUGUGCGAGCGUUAUUCGGAAUCACUGGGCUUAAAGGGUGCGUAGGCGGCGAAGCAAGUCUGUUGUGAAAUCUCCCAGCUCAACUGGGAAAGUGCAGUGGAAACUGAUUUGCUAGAGUGAGGCAGUGGUGUAGGGAACUUCCAGUGGAGCGGUGAAAUGUGUUGAUAUUGGAAGGAACACCGGUGGCGAAAGCGUUACACUGGGCCUUUUCUGACGCUGAGGCACGAAAGCCAGGGGAGCGAACGGG
rnacentral:rRNA from 1 species